rnacentral:rRNA from 1 species
AUAACUUCGGGAAACCGGAGCUAAUACCGGAUAACUUCGAGCACCUCCUGGUGCUUGGAUAAAAGACGGCGUCUAGCUGUCACUUACAGAUGGGCCCGCGGCGCAUUAGCUAGUUGGUGAGGUAACGGCUCACCAAGGCGACGAUGCGUAGCCGACCUGAGAGGGUGAUCGGCCACACUGGGACUGAGACACGGCCCAGACUCCUACGGGAGGCAGCAGUAGGGAAUCUUCCGCAAUGGACGAAAGUCUGACGGAGCAACGCCGCGUGAGCGAUGAAGGCCUUCGGGUCGUAAAGCUCUGUUGUUAGGGAAGAACAAGUACCAGAGUAACUGCUGGUACUUUGACGGUACCUAACCAGAAAGCCACGGCU